CAUUGGCACCCUCUGGUCUUGUCCCCACAGGACACCCCUCUGUCAUGGUGAUCAAGACGGCUAGGGGGCAGGGAAGGCGAGAAGAGGGAGGAGACACUGGUGUGACUCAUAGCAAAGUAAGAGCUUCUUCCCUCCUCUCUGCACCCCAAAUACGCACUUUUCCUGGAAGGGAACAGCUGGGCUGCUGGAGUCACAGAGGAAAUAUUUUUCUGGCUACGUUGCACAUUCCCCUUCUCUAUGAAAAUUGGUGCCACCAUUGCUAACUGAUGGAUGGACAAUGAGGAGACUGAGUCCCAAGAUCACCCAGAUACAAUAAUAAUUGUAGUAUUAACAUA
ensembl:lncRNA LINGO1-AS1 LINGO1 antisense RNA 1